CCAAUCAUUUCAAUCCCUAUUUUUCCUUUUUGGCGAUUUGCUCUAGGUCAUUUCCUCGGAGAAUUAUGCCAUCUAUUUUCUCUCCGGCGUCUCUCCACUUCUAUCUCAGGCAAACCACUUCUCCUCCCUCUUCCUCCCAUGUCCUUUCUUUUUCAUUUUCAUCCACUCAUGGGUAUACCCAAGCACACCAAAAUACAUUAUCAUAUCAUCAAUUAUAAAAUAUCAAAUUUGUAAAUUUUCAGUCAAUUCAGUUUUAAACCAGCACUACCAGAUCAUGGCGGAGAGUUUUUAUUACCAUUUUAACCACUCGUUAAAAACCUUUAAAAAUUCAGAAGGAUGCAAUAGGUAUUAUUGUCAUUAUAAACGUAUAAUAAUAAACAAUCCGAAUACAAAAAAAUAUAUAUACGUAGCUGUUAUAUUUGAUUUGCAACCAAAAUUGAUUUCAUCUCAAGAAAGAAGCAAGACAACAUGAGGAAGAGAUGGGGAGAUGGGAAAAGAAAAAGGACGAGGGAUCUAAGACAGAGAGCAAACCUGAAGAAGAUGAUUGUUUCAUGAAAUUUACGACAAUGCCCUUUGGCUAAUUAAGAAACAGUGACAAUUGGAAGGGCAAAUAAUGGGAAGAAAAAUUGGGUACAAUGCUAACAUAUAUUCUACUUAUUUAGAAGGGGGAGUUGAGGUGCUCUUUGUCGUCCUCUUUGGGCUAUUUUUGGAAUUUCAAUCCCUGCUUCGGGGUUAUUUUUGGAAAUAUGUCCUCUAAGUGGCUUAAACCUUUUCUCGUGUACAUUCUUUUUGUUCAACACGGUUUUUGCUAUUCGAGAGUUCUGAUUGAAUUGAACUCAAGCCCAAGUUGCUUCCACUAUAACUCUUCACACCAAACUCCAAAGCAAGACUGGAGAAGAUGACGAUUUGUAAUAAGAUGUUUGCCGCGUCUAUCAGGUGUUGAGGUGUACUUUGCUUUGUCAAACACGUGGUGUGCAAUUCUUCAAUCUUCCCUUGUGUCUGUGUUGGUCGAUUUUCUUUUUGCGGCUGCUAGGUGAUUCAUUUUUCUUCUGCCUGCCGUUCUCCGUGUUGGCAUUACUGAAACAUAAAAUUAUGAGUUCUGCUGAGAGGUUUCUAAGGUGAUUGGAGUACUUACCCUCAAGGAGGUCAAAUUUUUUAUCAAUGGAUCCGUGGCAAAGAAGAGGUUGACAUGCUACACUUGUUAUUUGGAAUGAAGGUUUCUGCAGUGCAACUGCAUUUGACUCUGUAUACACCUUCCAUGAGAAGCUUGCAUGUUAUUGUGGAAAGUAUGGACCAUCUUUGGAGGAAAUCAAGUUUUUAUACAGCUAGGAUCUAGCCUAGGCUACAACACACUUUCGUUAGGAUCUUCAAUUGUAUGCUUGGUAAUAUGGAAGUGAAGUAGUGCUUCCUGGUUACAUUAAAGAGGACAACAUUAAAGGCAUAUAUGACACUCUUGAGGAGUGUGCUUUAUUGACAAACCAACCGCAGGGAAUGUAUAUAGUAAGUUCAUUCUUCGAUCUUCGUAUGACUUCUUUGAACUCCCUUUAGACAAGCUACUCGAAAUCAAACUUACACCAUAUCUCUCUCAAUUGAAAAAUGUUCUGUAUUCUAAGACUACUGCAGGGGUUGAUAGCUCAAUUUCUUGGCCGGACAAGCUUUGGUAGGAAAAUUACUUAUUCUUUUUCAUUCUUUAACUCUGCGUUUCUUAUUUCAAUAUCUUCUUAGUUGUUUGGCUAAUCUGCAAGAAUGUGACUCCUCAUGAGAAUCAUUUGAUUCAGUUAGUUUACAAUAUCCAAUGUAAAUAUGCUGAAUUCUACAUUCAGGUUUAGUGGUUUCAACUCCUUUAUUCUUGAUAAAAAAUUAAUUUCAAAUCAUUUCUUCCGGCUUUUCAGGCGAUUAGUCUUUUCAAAGAAAUAACUUUGAUUGGCUGAAGAGCUGUGUCAAUUGAUUACCCAUGAAUCAUAGGAACUCAACCAAAGUUGUCCCGAGACAAGGUAUUGCUAAGCAUUUUACUAAGAAUGGGUUAUUAGAAAUGGAUGAAGAGUGACUAACCAGUACUCCUUUAGAUCCAAUAGAUGAUACAAGAAAAGAAGAGUAGAAUAAGAAAGCAAAAUGAUGUUGCUACUUUCUACGACAAGUCCAGCCUUUAAAACACAAGUUGGCCAUUUAGCAUGCCUAUGGUUUGAAUAUUUUAGACAUGAGCUAGAGUAGGCAAAACACAGUAUAAAGUGAAGCUUGUUUGAUAUUUAAAAGGUGUUUUCUUGUACUCCAUAGAUUCUCAUUCUUAAUAGUACAUGCUUAAUGUUUAUUGACUUUAAAAUUGUUCAACGACAACAUAGCACCUUUGUUGAUCGGUUUCUAGGAUUUAAUUUCGCUACAUCUAAUUUCUUGCUAGCUGCCAAGGAAAGCAUCUGUAUUUUCAAAGGAAAAGAAAGAAAAUAAAGUAUUUAUAUUCUGUAUAAUUCAUUCCUUUACUCCAAUUGAAAACAACGUUGACGUACUGUGCAUUGCAAUUUAAAGACUUUAUCUAGGUUUUCAGUAAGUUUUUCCUUUGACACAAUAAUUUAAAAGUGCAAAUAUUUAUUAUGCUGCUGCUAUCUUUAUUAUACUAAAACGUUUUGGAGUUGGUUCACUUGAAGCUGUGGUUUGUUACCUCUUUAAAGUCUUCAGGAUAAACUCUUUUUUAGGCUGUUUCGGUAUAUAAGCCUAGGAG